rnacentral:rRNA from 1 species
AACGAACGCUGGCGGCAUGCCUAACACAUGCAAGUCGAACGAGACCUUCGGGUCUAGUGGCGCACGGGUGCGUAACGCGUGGGAACCUGCCCUUAGGUUCGGAAUAACUCCCCGAAAGGGGUGCUAAUACCGGCUAAUGUCUUCGGACCAAAGAUUUAUCGCCUUUGGAUGGGCCCGCGUUGGAUUAGCUAGUUGGUAGGGUAAAAGCCUACCAAGGCGACGAUCCAUAGCUGGUCUGAGAGGAUGAUCAGCCACACUGGGACUGAGACACGGCCCAGACUCCUACGGGAGGCAGCAGUGGGGAAUAUUGGACAAUGGGCGAAAGCCUGAUCCAGCAAUGCCGCGUGAGUGAUGAAGGCCUUAGGGUUGUAAAGCUCUUUUACCCGGGAUGAUAAUGACAGUACCGGGAGAAUAAGCUCCGGCUAACUCCAUG